GGGCCCGCACAAGCGGUGGAGCAUGUGGUUUAAUUCGAUGAUACGCGAGGAACCUUACCAGGGCUUAAAUGUAAGUUGCAUAGAUCAGAGAUGGUCUUUUCUUCGGACUACUUACAAGGUGCUGCAUGGUUGUCGUCAGCUCGUGCCGUGAGGUGUCAGGUUAAGUCCUAUAACGAGCGCAACCCCUGUCGUUAGUUACCAGCAAGUAAUGUUGGGUACUCUAGCGAGACUGCCGGUGCAAACCGUGAGGAAGGUGGGGAUGACGUCAAAUCAUCACGGCCCUUACGUCCUGGGCUACACACGUGCUACAAUGGCCGGUACAGAGAGCAGCCACUACGCGAGUAGGAGCGAAUCUUCAAAGCCGGUCUCAGUUCGGAUUGUUGUCUGCAACUCGACAACAUG
rnacentral:rRNA from 1 species